ACGACCUUACUUGAACAGGAUCUGUUCUAUAGGCUCGUACAACUGUAUCCUUGAGUUCUAAGGAGACAGGAACCAAAGUCUGGUUGAUGAACACUGACCGUGUGAUCAGAGCGUGAUUAAUAGUCGUCCGAUUGACCUUCGGGUUCAUCAGAUCGACGGUGGAGGAUCGUUCUCAGCGGGUAUCACCGGCUGGGGUGGUCACACGGUUGUCUGACAGGCU
rnacentral:snoRNA from 12 species